AUGUCAAUGAUAGAUACAACACCUCCGACAGUCUACAUCGCUGAAAAUGGGAUGGAUUACAGUGAUCUCACGAGGUUAGUCAUAAAGAGUUACGUCGAUGACACAAAAAGGAUCAACUACCACAAUGACUACCUCACAAAUGUAGCUGAUUCCAUAAUGACGGACGGCUGUGAUGUUCGUGGGUAUUUUGUGUGGUCUCUCCUCGACAAUUGGGAGUGGACCGCUGGAUACACCUCAAGAUUCGGGUUGUACUUCGUACACUACAAGGAUAACCUCAAGAGAUACCCCAAGAACUAUGUCCAGUGA
rnacentral:rRNA from 1 species